rnacentral:lncRNA from 1 species
AAGGCGACCGCCUACACCGAACUGCCGCCCCCGUUGACCAGCAGCGGUUGGAACGACACAGACAUCAGCGGCUCACAGAGGCUGUUCAUCGAACUGCACACAGGUUUCGGAGUCAUCCUUGUUUCGACUGACAUACCACAAGGUUUGCAUGACGGUGGGGGAUUGUCGAGCUUUCUACGGCUUGUACAGUUCUACUGUGAACACUCUCUGCAAUCAAGGCGUCAGGCCGCACGUAGAAUGAGAUCCGCAAAGGCGUCAAGGACCUCAAAAAGGCGUCCAAGCUGGCGGAAAGAGUCUCGAUG